GAUGAACGCUGGCGGCGUGCCUAAUACAUGCAAGUCGAGCGAAUGGAUUAAGAGCUUGCUCUUAUGAAGUUAGCGGCGGACGGGUGAGUAACACGUGGGUAACCUGCCCAUAAGACUGGGAUAACUCCGGGAAACCGGGGCUAAUACCGGAUAACAUUUUGAGCCGCAUGGUUCGAAAUUGAAAGGCGGCUUCGGCUGUCACUUAUGGAUGGACCCGCGUCGCAUUAGCUAGUUGGUGAGGUAACGGCUCACCAAGGCAACGAUGCGUAGCCGACCUGAGAGGGUGAUCGGCCACACUGGGACUGAGGCACGGCCCAGACUACUUCGGGAGGUAGCAGUAGGGAAUCUUCCGCAAUGGACGAAAGUCUGACGGAGCAACGCCGCGUGAGUGAUGAAGGCUUUCGGGUCGUAAAACUCUGUUGUUAGGGAAGAACAAGUGCUAGUUGAAUAAGCUGGCACCUUGACGGUACCUAACCAGAAAGCCACGGCUAACUACGUGCCAGCCGCCGCAGUAA
rnacentral:rRNA from 1 species